AGUGAACGCUGGCGGUAGGCCUAACACAUGCAAGUCGAACGGCAGCACAGUAAGAGCUUGCUCUUACGGGUGGCGAGUGGCGGACGGGUGAGGAAUACAUCGGAAUCUACUUUUUCGUGGGGGAUAACGUAGGGGAACUUACGCUAAUACCGCAUACGACCUACGGGUGAAAGCAGUGGAUCUUCGGACCUUGCGCGAUUGAAUGAGCCGAUGUCGGAUUAGCUAGUUGGCGGGGUAAAGGCCCACCAAGGCGACGAUCCGUAGCUGGUCUGAGAGGAUGGUCAGCCCCCAUGGAACCGGAAAACCGUCCCGGCCCCUAAGGGAGGGCGGAGUGGGGAAUAUUGGACAAUGGGCGCAAGCCUGAUCCAGCCAUACCGCGUGGGUGAAGAAGGCCUUCGGGUUGUAAAGCCCUUUUGUUGGGAAAGAAAAGCAGCAGGUUAAUACCCCGCUGUUCUGACGGUACCCAAAGAAUAAGCACCGGCUAACUUCGUG
rnacentral:rRNA from 1 species